GGGGAUUUAGCUCAGCGGCAUAAGCACCUGUCUUGCAAGCAGGCAGUCAAUCCCUG
rfam:Cavia porcellus supercont2_90 genomic scaffold, whole genome shotgun sequence.